rnacentral:rRNA from 1 species
UACGUAGGGUGCGAGCGUUGUCCGGAAUUAUGGGGCGUAAAGAGCUCGUAGGCGGUUUGUCGCGUCUGCCGUGAAAGUCCGGGGCUCAACUCCGGAUCUGCGGUGGGUACGGGCAGACUAGAGUGAUGUAGGGGAGACUGGAAUUCCUGGUGUAGCGGUGAAAUGCGCAGAUAUCAGGAGGAACACCGGUGGCGAAGGCGGAUCUCUGGGCCUUACCUGACGCUGAGGCGCGAAAGCUAGGGGAGCGAACAGG